UACUCCGGAGUUGGCAUUUGUCACCGCGAAGUCUGUUUAUAAUCACAGACUUCUAUAUUACUAUAUGUAACGAAUUAGAAUCACGGACCAAGUAUGUAGGGUAUGUUCUAAACUUAUAAAUUAUAAUAAAUACGAUGAUAAUAGUGGUAAAUGAUUAGGUACGACCAUGUCCAUGAGUUUGUCUGAUGAUAACACUUCCUUAAAGGUUAUCAUAUUAUGAACUUAAAAGUUAAAUUAAAUUAAAAUAAACUUAGAUAAUAGAAGAAUUCUAUUAUCUAUGCUAUUGCCACGUCUUGGGGGACUCAGAAACCGCCUUUUCACAAAUAUAUCCGUGUGCCUUUCUCUCUUCCACAUUUAAAGACCGCGACCACUCGCAUUAUAUGCUUUAACAUGGCCUAUUCAUUCUUCUACUAUCUAUGAAAAUAAAUGUCUUAUUACUUCAAUCAAUUUGAUGUUAUUAAGACAUCGUAGUUAUUGUGUUUAAAUUGUUGUCAACUGGUUGUUAUGUUUGGAAAUGUUUGCAUUAGUUUAUCAGAGGAUGUAAUUUCGAUAAUUUUACCAAAAGCUCCCAAUAGUGUUUGCAGAUCAAUAAGCCGGAAACUGUUCAGCAUGGUUCUAUCACCUUCGUCAACGGAGUAAUUAUUCAUAUUCAUGGUCACUAAAAAAAAAAAUUUUAAUUUAUAGUUGUAGAUUUGUGAUAAAUUAAAACUAUGGUACUUAACCAGAUAAAGUCUUGCAAAGGGAGACAAAUAUUUGAAAGCUUGUCUCGGG